UACGUAGGUGGCGAGCGUUGUCCGGAUUUACUGGGCGUAAAGGGAGCGUAGGCGGAUUUUUAAGUGAGAUGUGAAAUACUCGGGCUCAACUUGAGUGCUGCAUUUCAAACUGGAAGUCUAGAGUGCAGGAGAGGAAAAUGGAAUUCCUAGUGUAGCGGUGAAAUGCGUAGAGAUUAGGAAGAACACCAGUGGCGAAGGCGAUUCUCUGGACUGUAACUGACGCUGAGGCUCGAAAGCGUGGGGAGCAAACAGG
rnacentral:rRNA from 1 species